ensembl:lncRNA
GAGUGGAUAACUGGGCACACUAGCCCCUCUGAAAUGGGCCAGAAAAACAGUUGGUUGUUUACCAAGAGGGCAUCUUGAUUGCGGAAAAGCCUCAAGAUUUUUCUCUGCCAUGAAAUAUCCACUGAGGCAGCUGCUUAAAUAGCCUUGAACUUGGGACAGCUUAGGGGAGGUACUCUCCCUGGUUUCUUCCCAUAAGACUUAGCCAGUGCUCAGGAUUUAAGCAGAGAGCCAGGAAGAGCUGCAAGACCACAGUGCCCUGUGAUAGGUUGCCAACCAAGGAGAUGACACCUUGACUUUCUACAAAAGGAAGAGAGAACGGGUUUCUGCUUGAAAGACAUUUAUUCAGACUUCGAUAACCCUUCAGAGGUACUUGAAGGGCUCCAGUUGCUUGAGGCAUCAUUUUUUGACUUCCUUUGAUGCCUCUUUCGAGCAGCAUCAUGGAGGAAUUCCAAGAAAUGCUCGGAGUUCCACUGAGACUGUCCCACUAUAACUGGAUGAUUCUCAAGAUGUUGCUGGACCUUACUAGUUAUGUGACUACUGGUUUAAGGGGCAUCUUCAGUAAAAUGCAAACAAUACACACAUAUACAUGCACACCUUUCCUCCAUUCUGUUGCUCCCAUAGUGUGGCUGGUGGGUCUUUGCAAGUUAUAGAAUAUUCCAAGUUGUCUUGGCCAAUAAUCAGGAGCAGAGCCUUUGCUGCUUUCAGCCGCCCUGGGUGGUCUACAUCCCCCAGAUCGUCCCACAUGACCCCAUGCCUCGUGCUCUACUCCACAAGCUAGACCCUAAGGGAAGUGAGUUUUACGAAGCCAUCCAAGCAAAAGAUAAUCUUUUAACU